rnacentral:tmRNA from 1 species
ACCCUUUCAAUGCAAACGCCGAGCACCUAUAAUCACAGCGUCGGCUUGCCGACUAUGGUGAUAAACGGUGCGUGGAAUAAACGUUGUGGACCCGGGGGCAGUGCCCGGCGCCUCCACCAAUAUCCUGGGUUUUCGGUUCGAAAAACAGGGGUUUGGGGGCGAAACAGUAUCGACACGCGUGGUAAAGACCCACCUUUUGCCCGGCAUGAUACCGCCGUUAUCGGGUCAACACUACAAGUGCCAAUGACAAUCAUGAAGCACUCGCUCUCGCUGCAUAAGCGUUAGCGCGGUUAGGGGGGCCCCGGGCAACAGAAUGCCCCCCACU